rnacentral:rRNA from 1 species
GACGAAGGGGGCUAGCGUUGUUCGGAAUUACUGGGCGUAAAGCGAGUGUAGGUGGUUGUCCAAGUUGGAUGUGAAAGCCUUGAGCUCAACUCAAGAAAUGCAUUCAGGACUGGAUGGCUAGAGGACCGGAGAGGAUAGUGGAAUCCCCAGUGUAGUGGUGAAAUACGUAGAGAUUGGGAAGAACACCAGUGGCGAAGGCGGCUAUCUGGACGGUUUCUGACACUAAGACUCGAAAGCGUGGGGAGCAAACAGG